CCAUCUUCGCAGCGGCGGUUGCAGGGAUUCAGGGGAGGGAGCCGGCGGGAACCGAGUGUGCGGAACAACCUCCUCACACCAGCAGGACGAGAAAGCGAGCGCAGAGCCGACGCGGCACCGUGAGCCUACUAAGGGGCGGUCGCGCGCCUCGGGUCAAAAUGCGCCUGCGCACGUCACGCACUGCCCGCGUUGCUACACGACGGGCCGGCCCGGCAAUGCCCCGCCCCGGGGGCAGCCUGGAGUCCGGACUGCGGGGGCGUCGCUCACCUGCCCGGGGCUGAGGGGCGGGACCCCUUCGCCAGCUCCAGUCUUGAGGGGCGCGGGCAGGUUCUACUUCCUCAACUGCAGCCCUCCGAUGAUUGGCCAGCUAGACACGGCGGACCCUCGCGUGAGAGGAAAAAUCUGCACAUUUUUCCUUCUUCGCGAGGCGACUGAGGCCCGCUCUGGGCACCCUGUGAGUCAGCGCUAAUGUGAGGUCUGGAGAACAGGCGCGAUUUGUUUAUCUUCGGUCCAGGCCGGGAAGGAGCCGUGGCCCAGGGUGUGGCCAGGGCGGCAGUUGAACUGCUCCGGGCCCGGGGUUUUCUACUCGCGAACUGUGGUUGCACCAGAAACAGCUUGCAGGGGACCAGAAGGAAUCCCAGCGCUUUUCUAACGCAUGUUUUUGUGGGGAAUACAGGGGACAGGAAGAAUUUACAACUGGGAAGAUUACUGAACUUUAUAUUAAGUUGUACCUAAUUUAGGCAGCCAAGAGCAUAAUGAUUUAUACCGAAACUGUUUUGAUUCUCCAGAUAUGACGAUUUGGACAAGAUGACACUUAAUCUUUGGGGGAAAAUAACUCUCAACCUGCUGGAGGCCAGAUGUGCUGAGUUUUUGUCUCCUGAGAAAGGAAGGAGGUGAAGAGUAAGGAAAGGUUUACCGACAGCUCCUGAGAGACAGGAGGGGUCCCAGAAGUGCGUGGCCCCACAGGCGCUUUCUCCAAGAAUGUUCUAUGGAGCAAAAUCACAAGGGAGAUUCUCAGGCCUGGCCAUAUUGUCUCCAUCUUGAGUCCUGGCCCCCUUCAGAUGUGCCUUCAGCAGCAGUUUUGAUGUGUUUUCAUCUUCCACACUGACUCCCUUGAGGGCUUAUCCCUGUCUGACUACCUAUUAAUUUCUACCUAACUUAGCUGUCUAGUAUCUUGAUCUUGUACCUUCCAGCCUCCAAAGCAAUAGGAAUAUAUCUCUGUUUUCUCUGCUGACCCCCAGUCUGUGUGUGGCUUUGUGCUGUACAGCCUGAACAGACUAUAACACAUAAAGUCUCUCCUUGAAUACAGCAUGGGUAUGUUCCAUUUCUGAUUUAGAAGACGUUUUGCAAAUGCAGUACUUGAUCUAUG
rnacentral:lncRNA from 1 species